AAGGGUGUGUAGGCAGCUUUAAACUUUAUUCUUUUUCUAAAUCCUUAAUUUAAAGUUUCAAUCACUAACGUGAUGCCUAUUAGGCAAUAGAUUGAGGGUGAAGAAAUAUAGACUAAUAUUUUUUAUUACCUAAAUUAUAAAAAAAUUAAGAAAAGAAUGAACUAAUAAAAGCUAGAAUCAAAUAGAGGAUAUAUUAAAUAAUAUUUAGAGGAGGGGCGAUAUCCUUAGAUACUAAAUGGAAUAUUAAGGGUGAAAGCUUUUUAUCUACUAAUGAAUGACGCUGAGAAACGAAGGUGAGUAUAGGAAAUAGGAUUAGAUACCCAGAUACCACUCUCUGUCAA
rnacentral:rRNA from 1 species